GAUGAACGCUGGCGGCGUGCUUAACACAUGCAAGUCGAACGGGAAUUAUUUUAUUGAAACUUCGGUCGAUUUAAUUUAAUUCUAGUGGCGGACGGGUGAGUAACGCGCGGGUAACCUGCCUUAUACAGGGGGAUAACAGUCAGAAAUGGCUGCUAAUACCGCAUAAGCGCACAGAGCUGCAUGGCUCAGUGUGAAAAACUCCGGUGGUAUAAGAUGGACCCGCGUUGGAUUAGCUGGUUGGUGGGGUAACGGCCCACCAAGGCGACGAUCCAUAGCCGGCCUGAGAGGGUGAACGGCCACAUUGGGACUGAGACACGGCCCAGACUCCUACGGGAGGCAGCAGUGGGGAAUAUUGCACAAUGGGGGAAACCCUGAUGCAGCGACGCCGCGUGAAGGAAGAAGUAUCUCGGUAUGUAAACUUCUAUCAGCAGGGAAGAUAGUGACGGUACCUGACUAAGAAGCCCCGGCUAACUACGUG
rnacentral:rRNA from 1 species